rnacentral:rRNA from 1 species
UACGGGGGGGAGCAAGCGUUGUUCGGAUUUACUGGGCGUAAAGGGCGCGUAGGCGGCCACCGCAAGUCGACUGUGAAAUCUCCGGGCUUAACCCCGGAAAGGUCAGCCGAUACUGCGGGGCUAGAGUGCAGAAGGGGCAACUGGAAUUCUCGGUGUAGCGGUGAAAUGCGUAGAUAUUGAGAGGAACACCUGCGGCGAAGGCGGGUUGCUGGGCUGACACUGACGCUGAGGCGCGAAAGCCAGGGGAGCGAACGGG